CCUACGGGGGGCUGCAGUGGGGAAUAUUGGACAAUGGGCGAAAGCCUGAUCCAGCCAUGCCGCGUGUGUGAAGAAGGCCUUCGGGUUGUAAAGCACUUUCAGUGGGGAAGAAAGCCUUGGGGCUAAUACCCUCGAGGAAGGACAUCACCCACAGAAGAAGCACCGGCUAACUCCGUGCCAGCAGCCGCGGUAAUACGGAGGGUGCGAGCGUUAAUCGGAAUUACUGGGCGUAAAGCGCGCGUAGGCGGUCUGAUAAGCCGGUUGUGAAAGCCCCGGGCUCAACCUGGGAACGGCAUCCGGAACUGUCAGGCUAGAGUGCAGGAGAGGAAGGUAGAAUUCCCGGUGUAGCGGUGAAAUGCGUAGAGAUCGGGAGGAAUACCAGUGGUGAAGGCGGCCUUCUGGACUGACACUGACGCUGAGGUGCGAAAGCGUGGGUAGCAAACAGGAUUAGAUACCCUGGUAGUC
rnacentral:rRNA from 1 species